rnacentral:rRNA from 1 species
UAUCAAUAAGCGGAGGAAAAGAAACCAACAGGGAUUGCCCUAGUAACGGCGAGUGAAGCGGCAACAGCUCAAAUUUGAAAUCUGGCCCUAGGCCCGAGUUGUAAUUUGCAGAGGAUGCUUUUGGCAAAGCGCUUACCGAGUCCCCUGGAACGGGGCGCCACAGAGGGUGAGAGCCCCGUAUGGUAUGACGCCGAGCCUCUGUAAAGCUCCUUCGACGAGUCGAGUAGUUUGGGAAUGCUGCUCUAAAUGGGAGGUAAAUUUCUUCUAAAGCUAAAUACCGGCCAGAGACCGAUAGCGCACAAGUAGAGUGAUCGAAAGAUGAAAAGCACUUUGAAAAGAGGGUUAAAUAGCACGUGAAAUUGUUGAAAGGGAAGCGCUCGUGACCAGACUUGCGCCGGGCGGAUCAUCCAGCGUUCUCGCUGGUGCACUCCGCCCGGCUCAGGCCAGCAUCGGUUUUCGCCGGGGGACAAAAGCUCCGGGAACGUGGCUCCCUUCGGGGAGUGUUAUAGCCCGUUGCUUAAUACCCCGGCGGGGACCGAGGACCGCGCUUCGGCAAGGAUGCUGGCGUAAUGGUCAUCAGCGACCCGUCUUGAAACACGGACCGAGGAGUCAAGCAUUAGUGCGAGUGUUUGGGUGUAAAACCCGCACGCGUAAUGAAAGUGAACGUAGGUGAGAGCUUCGGCGCAUCAUCGACCGAUCCUGAUGUUUUCGGAUGGAUUUGAGUAGGAGCAUUAACGCUUGGACCCGAAAGAUGGUGAACUAUACUUGAAUAGGGUGAAGCCAGAGGAAAC